rnacentral:lncRNA from 1 species
UGUCAAGGAAAGGGAAGUUCCACUUGAGGUUUAUUUAUUCCUGUCUUACUAUCUAUCUCCAGGUAGCCCACCUUAAGAAAAAUGGGGAAAAAGAGAGUUUCGAAGUGAUAAAAUGGGUCUUACAAUUAAAUCAUAAGAGUGAAACUCACAUUAUUUUCCACAUGGCAAUAAGAACACAUUGUCCAAAUACAUUGGUUCAGGUUCUCCUUUGGUCAGUGCUGGGAGGUACGAUACCACUUACCUUACAAGUCUGUUCUAGGCAAGAGGAGCUGCUCUCUGGACUUGCCUCUCUCAGCACUGCUCAUUGAGGGGACUGGAUGGCUAAGGCAGAGUAGAUGCUUAAUUUCUAACUAACUGACUAAAGCGAGUUAAGAUGAAACCCCCACCCAGUGUUGCGCAGAGGGAGGUUUGCCCUGUUACAGAAGAUGCUGAGCUCAUGAAGCAUUUACUUGAGUUUUUCUACUAGGUAACUGUGAAUUUACCCUAAGAAAUUAUUUCUCUUAUAUUUUGACUGGAUGAAGUGGCUUUAAGAGCCUUUUGAGGCAUUUUACAAAUGGAGAAGGUAAGAAGCUGGAUGACCAGGCUCAGUACACUAAUAUACUUAGUCUUGUGACCUUCCAUCAGAUCCUUGCUGUGCCACAGAAUCAUUCGAUGAUUUUUUCUAAUCCCUAAAUGUGGUUUCUAAGAACCUAAUUCCCUUGAAUGAUUGCAGCCUCAUUUCCUCAUUUCUAAAGUAGCAAUAACUGUUCUUUGUUAUAUGGGAGGAUCUUUUCUCAAACAAUCCUGGUCCUUGAGGAGGAAAAGGAGAAGCACAUCCUCAGACAAGAAGAAGUAUUGAGUAGUGCCUUUCUUCACAUCACUCCCUGUGGGUGUGAGUGGAAGGGUGAGGCAUCCAGACAGCAGAAUUUACUUAAGAAAGGGGCCAUAAGCAAAUUAUUUUGGAAAAUGCUGUGGUAAAAAAUUACUCGUGUUUUAGACUUUUACCUCAGACUUUCACUAGGAAUAUAUUAGAUCAUCUCCUGCUAACAAGCAUGUUUGCCACCCCCUCAGUACAACUUCCUCCAGCAGCACCAGUCCAUACUUCAGCAGCUGUGUCAGUAUUUUGUAUUCAAACAGAACUGGUCAAAAACUUUCCAGUACAUAAUGCAGUUUCAUCAAAACCACAACUUCCCCGGAGAUCAGCUUUGAUAAGGUAGUGCUGAAAAGCACUUGACUCAGGCCCACAGACAGCAGAACAGUACCAUGGCAGGGCACAACUUUGCUGCAAACCUUAUAUGCUAUAGCCCAGCACUAAUCCUACCAAAGCAUAGGCACAAGGCAAUUCUACCUAAGCCAAGACUGGGCAAUUCCAGGUGUUUUGGUUAGGCCAGGGAUGGCUGAAGUGAAGUCUGCCCCUUUCAGUCCUGGGCUCAAGAACUGCCAGAUUCACCUGCCAGCAUUCUCUCAGCUGUAGGAGCACACAGAAGGAGGGUGGAUGGCCACAGCCCAAGCUGCAGAUACCAGCUUGUACUGGCAUUGCACUGACAUUCAGUCAGCCUCACCAGGAAAUGGAACAAACUGGGCACCCAUGCCCCUUGCAAAGGCCUUGCCAUCGCUCUGGCCUUCCCAAUAUAUGUACUCCAAAAAGGUGUCUCCACAGGUUUCUGCUGUUUUUCUUCAAGAGCCAAACCUGCUCUUGAAGUUGAUUUUAACUUGAGGUCUGAUUGAAAACAUUCUCUGCUCAGUAGCUCCAUAGAGACACCACUCCAUGGAGUGAUAGCAGAGGGGAGCAAGGCCGCUCUCUCAAGCUGGCUCAAGUUCAAAACCAGUAGUUCAACAACUACCGUACUCCAAAUUGCACGCUUUCUUAGCGAGUUGUUUUUGGCUUAAUAUAACCAAUAGUGACACUGUUUUUUUCAAUAUACUUCCUUCCUACUCAUAAUUUCCAACCUACUUGUACACAUUAAAACCUCACUGCAAUUUCAGAGUAAUUGUCAAAGCCUAUAAUUUUGAGUAAAAGCAUCUCUGGACUGAAUGAGGGUGAUCCUAAAGAUGCAGUGGGUCAGUGUUGGCUUUUAUUCAUGCAGUGUGUAUCAUCUGGCCUGGGCGGGACAGCAUUACACUGAAAGGGACAUUUACUUAUUAGUAUUUUCAAUCUUUCAUCGCAUGCACUUUUCUUGGCACUUAAAGGUCAAUGUUUAAAAAAACAUCCUGGCUUAGGUGGUUAAACGUGGAUGUGUGUAUAUAAAUGUGCUUGAAACCAAAUCAUGGGUCCUUGUAGGAGAAAUUAGGGAUGCAUUUUACAAUUGUGAGAUGGUCUGCAACUAACCCACAUUUCUUGCGGGUUAAAUACGUAAUGAAGUAUUUAAAUAUGUAAAUAUUGUUCUGGUUUAGGACACCACAGACAAAAAUUGUAUCUGAGAUUUAAAGAGAGGGGGGUGUUCCACUUUGCAGAAAGGGAAUGAGGUGGAUAACUUCCGGAAUCAAAUGGAAUUUGAAAUAAAAAGAAAUUACAGGCAUCGAUAGGGUCAUUUAAUGGUUCUUUUGAGUUACUGAAGCCAAGAGUCAGCAUUGCAGCGUCAGCCAGUGCCCUCCUCUAGAGUUUUGUUACAGUGCCCAACAGCUGUGUGAACAGCUGGUUUUACAUGAUCCAAAAAAUUGCCAUGGGCUUUCCAAAGCAUUUCUUUACCCCAUAGACGCAGGACUCAUUGGCUACCACUUAACGAUGCAGAAAUAAGUUUUGGUUUCUUGUUUCUUUAUAAACUUGCCUGGUUUUAAUAGGCCAUUAAUAAAAAUGCCAUAAUAUUUAAAAAAGUAUGAGUGGGAUUCUUUCCUUUUCAGUAAGUGAUGAAAGACUGAUGCUUGUAAAAUGAGCUGACCACGUAGUAGUGGGGAGAAAAAGAAACAAAA